UACGGGGGGGGCAAGCGUUGUUCGGAAUUACUGGGCGUAAAGGGCUUGUAGGUGGCCAACUAAGUCCGACGUGAAAUCCCUAGGCUUAACCUAGGAACUGCGUCGGAUACUGGAUGGCUUGAAUCCGGGAGAGGGAUGCGGAAUUCCAGGUGUAGCGGUGAAAUGCGUAGAUAUCUGGAGGAACACCGGUGGCGAAGGCGGCAUCCUGGACCGAGAUUGACGUUGAGGCGCGAAGGCCAGGGGAGCAAACGGG
rnacentral:rRNA from 1 species